rnacentral:ncRNA from 1 species
GCCCGAAAAUGGCAAAACAUUCGAAAGGAUGUGGCGCAAAGCUACUGGCCUAAGUCCUCUUACAGGAUAUGGUUGCAGGGUUGCCGGA